rnacentral:misc_RNA from 1 species
UGACGUAGACCAGGCCAGGCAGGCAGCGGAGAGCCCGGACUUAGGCCGGCCCGUUAAAUCAGUGUGUUACGCGUCAGCGUGUAAGCCAGUGCAAUCGUCUAGUAACGUCCAGACAUCAGGAGCAAUCGGUUGUUGGUGGUCGGCUACAGAGUUGUCCGUAGUGUUCCCGCAACUUCCGUACGUCCGGUCGCUAAUCGGAUCGGAUCGGGAUCGGAGCGCAGCCAGAGAGUGUACGUCGUCGUGUCUCAGGCAGCCAGCCAGCCAGCCAGCCGGUGAUACAGCCAACGAUGGUCGUCAAGAUCUACAUAUCGGGUAUCAGCGGCAACAAGGAAGUGAAGAAAAGACAACAACGUGUGAUGAUGAUUUUAGAUAGUAAAAAUGUGGAAUAUGAGAUUAUUGAUAUAACAGAGCCAGGCAAGGAACUAGACAAAGAAUUCAUGCAAGCUAAUAGCAAUGCAAGAACCAACAAAUAUCCAUUGCCACCACAAAUAUUUAAUGAAGAUGAUUAUUGCGGAGAUUAUGAAGACUUUGAUUUAGCAAACGAAUUGGAUGAAUUAGAAAAGUUUUUAAAAGUAACGCCAGCAAUUAGCACUGCGGAAAUCACUCUUGAUUCAAAAUCUCAGAAUGAUGCAAUUCAAGAGAAUGGAAAUACUUCAAGUCGAGAGCCUUCUGCGGAUAAAGAAGCAGAUAUAAUACUCUCCGACAGUUUACCAGAAAGAACAACUUUAGACAGUGAGAAUAAAGCCUUAGAUGACUCUAAACCGACUGAAGAUAGCGCGGCAAAAAUUAUCGCUAGUGAUGAAGGUGAACAUGCCGAAGAUAAUGGGGAUAAGAAUGAAGAAAAAUCCGACGACCAAGAAAAAGAGGAAUAGAUACGAGGAGAUAUACCUCAUGUAAAGUUGGGAUAUAUUCCAUACAUCCUUCCUUUUCCACCCACAAGCGUAUUUUGCAAAGCUACGUUUAUUACAUUACUAAGGCUGAAUGAAGAUCAAGCGCGUCCUCACACACCAAUGUCUGUUUUCCAACAGGUUUGAUUAGAUGAUAUGAGAUAAUUCCUUCAUAUUGCUGUCUUUAUACACGUCUUCACCUUUAUUGUUUAUUAUUUUGCAUUGUUUCACAUAUUGCACCAUACCUAAUAUAUUAUAGCACUUUCAAAGUGAAAUUAAAGUAUAUUUUUCUUUUACGUUUUUUUUUCCAUUAGUAUACAACUUUUUGAUUAUUAUGUUGCAGCGUGCAAAAACAUGUAAGUAAAUAUGUAGGAUAUAGUAACAAAUGCAUAUAUACAUAUAAUAUCAUUGGAGAUAUAUGAGGACAAACAUAGAUAUAUUUCUAUUAU